ACCCGCUGAACUUAAGCAUAUCAAUAAGCGGAGGAAAAGAGACCAACAGGGAUUGCUCUAGUAACGGCGAGUGAAGCAGCAAUAGCUCAAAUUUGAAAUCUGGCGUCUCCGACGUCCGAGUUGUAAUUUGUAGAGGAUGCUUCUGAGUGGCCACCGACCUAAGUUCCUUGGAACAGGACGUCAUAGAGGGUGAGAAUCCCGUAUGCGGUCGGAAAGGCGCUCUAUACGUAGCUCCUUCGACGAGUCGAGUUGUUUGGGAAUGCAGCUCUAAAUGGGAGGUAAAUUUCUUCUAAAGCUAAAUAUUGGCCAGAGACCGAUAGCGCACAAGUAGAGUGAUCGAAAGAUGAAAAGCACUUUGGAAAGAGAGUUAAAAAGCACGUGAAAUUGUUAAAAGGGAAGGGAUUGCAACCAGACUUGCUCGCGGUGUUCCGCCGGUCUUCUGACCGGUCUACUCGCCGCGUUGCAGGCCAGCAUCGUCUGGUGCCGCUGGAUAAGACUUGAGGAAUGUAGCUCCCUCGGGAGUGUUAUAGCCUCUUGUGAUGCAGCGAGCGCCGGGCGAGGUCCGCGCUUCGGCUAGGAUGCUGGCGUAAUGGUCGUAAUCCGCCCGUCUUGAAACACGGACCAAGGAGUCUAACAUCUAUGCGAGUGUUCGGGUGUCAAACCCCUACGCGUAAUGAAAGUGAACGGAGGUGAGAACCGCAAGGUGCAUCAUCGACCGAUCCUGAUGUCUUCGGAUGGAUUUGAGUAAGAGCAUAGCUGUUGGGACCCGAAAGAUGGUGAACUAUGCCUGAAUAGGGUGAAGCCAGAGGAAACUCUGGUGGAGGCUCGCAGCGGUUCUGACGUGCAAAUCGAUCGUCAAAUUUGGGUAUAGGGGCGAAAGACUAAUCGAACCAUCUAGUAGCUGGUUCCUGCCGAAGUUUCCCU
rnacentral:rRNA from 1 species